GAGUGCGGGCGGUUUUAUUUCCAUAAAUAUUGUCCAUGAUUUUCGUUGCUUUCGGUAUGAAAUUAAUCAUUAGGUACCUAUUAAACUUUCAGUUCGCUUAAAGCUUAAAAUAAUAUUUUUAAGGACGAGAACCCAGACUUCACACUCAACUCUAGAAGAACGGGUGGUUCGGACGAAGGAUCUGAAUCUGAGAUGGAGAAGAAUCCGGGGAACCCCUUCACCAUACACAAGAAUAAAUACAAACAGAACUGGCCUUAUGAUCAUUUUAUGGAUGGUGACCAUAUGAAUAUAAAUCCUUUUGGACCACAAUUCCAAAGCUUGGGCCCUAGUGGUCCUGAACUAUUCUUCGGAAGAAAGUGGUGGUACUUUAACCAGGAUGACUACAAGCCGAUGGGAUAAAAUAUAUAGCCAACCAGAAUUAUAGCUUACAAAUUAUGUAAA